rnacentral:rRNA from 1 species
GAUGAACGCUGGCGGCGUGCUUAACACAUGCAAGUCGAACGGAAAGGCCAGUGCUUGCACAGGUACUCGAGUGGCGAACGGGUGAGUAACACGUGGGUGAUCUGCCCUGCACUUCGGGAUAAGCCUGGGAAACUGGGUCUAAUACCGGAUAGGACAAUGGUUUGGAUGCCGUUGUGGAAAGUUUUUUCGGUGUGGGAUGAGCUCGCGGCCUAUCAGCUUGUUGGUGGGGUAAUGGCCUACCAAGGCGUCGACGGGUAGCCGGCCUGAGAGGGUGUACGGCCACAUUGGGACUGAGAUACGGCCCAGACUCCUACGGGAGGCAGCAGUGGGGAAUAUUGCACAAUGGGCGCAAGCCUGAUGCAGCGACGCCGCGUGGGGGAUGACGGCCUUCGGGUUGUAAACUCCUUUCGCUAGGGACGAAGCGUAUUUGUGACGGUACCUGGAGAAGAAGCACCGGCUAACUACGUG